ACCACAUCCAAGGAAGGCAGCAGGCACGCAAAUUACCCACUCCCGGCACGGGGAGGUAGUGACAAAAAAUAACGAUACGGGACUCAUCCGAGGCCCCGUAAUCGGAAUGAGAACACCCUAAAUCCUUUAACGAGGAUCUAUUGGAGGGCAAGUCUGGUGCCAGCAGCCGCGGUAAUUCCAGCUCCAAUAGCGUAUAUUAAAGUUGUUGCGGUUAAAAAGCUCGUAGUUGGUUCUGCGUGCCACGCUGUCGGUUCACCGCCUGCCGGUGCAACUGGCAUGCCGUGGCAUGUCCUGUCGGUGGCGGAUAGGCUUCGCGGCGUGCCCUAUGCGGUAUACCAACGUGUAGGUCGCUGCGCCGCGUUGUCCUUGUACGCCGGCUCAAUCCUACCGCGGUGCUCUUUACCGAGUGUCGAGGUAGGCCGACACUGUUUACUUUGAACAAAUUAGAGUGCUUAAAGCAGGCUCUUAAAUCAGCCUGAAUAGUGGUGCAUGGAAUAAUGGAACAGGACCUUGGUUCUAUUUUGUUGGUUUUCGGAAUCCAAGGUAAUGAUCAAUAAGGACAGGCGGGGGCAUUCGUAUUGCGACGUUAGAGGUGAAAUUCUUGGAUCGUCGCAAGACGCACUAGAGCGAAAGCAUUUGCCAAGUAUGUCUUAAUUGAUCAAGAACGAAAGUUAGAGGUUCGAAGGCGAUCAGAUACCGCCCUAGUUCUAACCAUAAACGAUGCCAGCCAGCGAUCCGCCGACGUUCCUCCGAUGACUCGGCGGGGAGCUUUCCCCGGGAAACCAAAAGCUUUUGGGUUCCGGGGGAAGUAUGGUUGCAAAGCUGAAACUUAAAGGAAUUGACGGAAGGGCACCACCAGGAGUGGAGCCUGCGGCUUAAUUUGACUCAACACGGGAAACCUCACCAGGCCCGGACAUUGGAAGGAUUGACAGAUCGAUAGCUCUUUCUCGAUUCAGUGGGUAGUGGUGCAUGGCCGUUCUUAGUUGGUGGACUGAUUUGUCUGGUUUAUUCCGAUAACGAACGAGACUCUAACCUAUUAACUAGGCGUUGCCGGUAUAAACAGCUACCGGCGAGAUUUAUU
rnacentral:rRNA from 1 species